CUGAUAUCGGCAGGGACGGAUGAUGAGAGUCAGAUAGGUUUCGCAUAUUUGGCUGAACUCCUGUGAUGUCACUUCCUCUUGGCUGUCUGACCAAUCCCUGAGCUGAACUUUUUCUCUCACACAAACAUGUCUGUCUCUGUGAUUGACAUUUUCCUUUUCUUAUUGUUUACAAAGGGACAUCAGCUGAUUCCUGAAGCGCUGAGAGGAUGAACUGAGGAGAAUGCAAAGGUGAGACAUGUGCUAGGGCUGCGCAAUUCCUCGGGCGGCUGCGCAAUUCUUCGAGCGACUGCGCAAUUCCUCCGGCGACUGCGCAAUUCCUCGGGCGACUGCGCUCUACUACAACAAUCAAUUCUACACCUUUUACUGAUUUAACCAUAAAGACAUCGAGUCGAGUAGACCUGAUAUCGGCAGGGACGGAUGAUGAGAGUCAGAUAGGUUUCGCAUAUUAGGCUGAACUCCUGUGAUGUCACUUCCUCUUGGCUGUCUGACCAAUCCCUGAGCUGAACUCUUUUUCUCUCACACACCCCCCCCCUGCUCUUACAUCUCUCUGAUUGAAGGUCAGCAACACUACACACUCUUCACCUGAUGUUUGUUUGUUUUCAGAUCAAUUCGCAGGAGGAGGAGUCAAAUGAAGACCUAGUUGAAAUUCUUCCACACAUUGUUAUUGUUAUGCAUAGUUCAACCACCAUGAUUUUUAUGAUAUUCAACUUUGAGAAUAAAAAAAAGUUUCUUUAUCACAUUGUACUUUAUUGAUGUCCGUCUUAAUGCCACACACUGCUGGAUAAAUUGAAGUCUGUGCUACAAAGAAAAGCAAAUCAGUUUUAACAUGCUCUAAAUACAGUAACCACAAAUCAUUCCUGCAUGCAAGCAUCAUUACUGAUCAUUGACCAUCUUGCUAACAGUUUGAUUAGUUUGUUGUGUAGAAAUACCCCCCCUCCCUCCCCGCCUCCACACACAAGACAUGGUGACAUAGGACAUCCCGCUUUGCCGUCACUCGUACGGUUACAUAAAGGCCAACUUGCUCCAUUUUUAACGGAAGUCUUUUGAGCGGCUAGUCCUGACCCACCUGAAGUCCCUCACCCCCCCUCCUGGACCCCCUGCAGUUCGCCUACAGAGCACACAGGUCUGUGGACGAUGCUGUCAACAUGGCCCUCCACUACAUCCUCCAGCUUCUGGACUCCCCAGGAACCUACGCCAGGAUCCUGUUUGUGGACUUCAGCUCUGCCUUCAACACCAUCAUCCCGUCUCUGCUGCAGGACAAACUCUCCCAGCUGCACCGCCCGACUCCACCUGCAAGUGGAUCACAGACUUCCUGUCUGACAGGAAGCAGCACGUGAAGCUGGGGAAACAUGUCUCAGCCUCUCGGACCAUCAGCACCGGUUCCCCCCAAGGCUGCGUUCUUUCCCCUCUGCUCUUCUCCCUGUACACCAACAGCUGCACCUCCAGUCACCAGUCCGUCAAGCUCCUGAAGUUUGCGGAUGACACCACCCUCAUUGGACUGAUCUCUGGUGGGGACGAGUCCGCCUACAGGUGGAGUCUGACCAUCUGGUGUCGUGGUGCAGCCAGAACAACCUGGAGCUCAACGCUCUAAAGACAGUGGAGAUGGUUGUGGAUUUCCAGAGGAACAGAGCCACACCCUCCCCCAUCACCCUGUGUGACUCCCCCGUCACUAUUGUGGAUUCCUUCCGUUUCCUGGGCUCCAUCAUCACCCAGGACCUCAAGUGGGAGCUGAACAUCAGCUCCAUCACCAAGAAGGCUCAGCAGAGGUUGUUCUUCCUGAGGCAGCUGAAGAAACUCAACCUGCCAAAGACGAUGAUGGUCCAUUUCUACACGGCCAUCAUGGAGUCCGUCCUCUGCUCCUCCAUCAGC
ensembl:lncRNA